rnacentral:rRNA from 1 species
CCACCCAAUAAUUGAACAAUAUAAAUAAAACAAAAUAAGCCCAACACCAAAAAUUAAACCAUUCUUUUACCUGAGUAUGGGAGACAGAAAAGGUUCUACCCAAAGCAAUAGAGACAGUACCGCAAGGGAAAGCUGAAAGAGAAAUGAAACAACCCAUAUAAGCACAAAAAAGCAAAGAUUAAACCUUGUACCUUUUGCAUCAUGAUUUAGCCAGUACACCCAAGCAAAGAGACCUUUAGUUUGAAACCCCGAAACCAGGUGAGCUACCCCGAGACAGCCUAUUAAGGGCCAACCCGUCUCUGUGGCAAAAGAGUGGGAAGAGCUCCGGGUAGAAGUGACAGACCUACCGAACCUGGUGAUAGCUGGUUGCCUAAGAAAUGAAUAGAAGUUCAGCCUCGUACCCCCCCAAUCAAAAACACAAACAAGACACUAAGAGAAAUAUACGAGAGUUAGUUAAAGGGGGUACAGCCCCUUUAACAAAGGACACAACCUUUCCAGGAGGAUAAAGAUCAUAAUACAUAAAACAUACUGUUCUAGUGGGCCUAAAAGCAGCCACCUAAACAGAAAGCGUUAAAGCUCAGACAGAAAGAAGUUUAUUAUUCUGAUAAAAAAUCUUACUCCCCUAAAUACUAUUAGGCCAACCCAUGCCCACAUGGAAAAGACUAUGCUAAAAUGAGUAACAAGAAGGCCCGCCCUUCUCCAAGCACAAGUGUAAGCCAAACCGGACCAACCAUUGGCAACUAACGAACUCAACCCAAGAGAGCAAUGUGGACUACAAAAAGACCAAGAAAAAACCACAACCAAACUAUCGUUAUCCCCACACUGGAGUGCUAUUUAAAGGAAAGACUAAAAGAAAAGGAAGGAACUCGGCAAACACAAGCCUCGCCUGUUUACCAAAAACAUCGCCUCCUGCAACACAACCAAGUAUAGGAGGUCCAGCCUGCCCAGUGACUACAAGUUCAACGGCCGCGGUAUUUUGACCGUGCAAAGGUAGCGCAAUCACUUGUCUUUUAAAUAGAGACCUGUAUGAAUGGCUAAACGAGGGCUUAACUGUCUCCCCUUUCAAGUCAGUGAAAUUGAUCUACCCGUGCAGAAGCG